rnacentral:rRNA from 1 species
AAGUCGAGCGAAUGGAUUAAGAGCUUGCUCUUAUGAAGUUAGCGGCGGACGGGUGAGUAACACGUGGGUAACCUGCCCAUAAGACUGGGAUAACUCCGGGAAACCGGGGCUAAUACCGGAUAAUAUUUUGAACCGCAUGGUUCGAAAUUGAAAGGCGGCUUCGGCUGUCACUUAUGGAUGGACCCGCGUCGCAUUAGCUAGUUGGUGAGGUAACGGCUCACCAAGGCAACGAUGCGUAGCCGACCUGAGAGGGUGAUCGGCCACACUGGGACUGAGACACGGCCCAGACUCCUACGGGAGGCAGCAGUAGGGAAUCUUCCGCAAUGGACGAAAGUUUGACGGAGCAACGCCGCGUGAGUGAUGAAGGCUUUCGGGUCGUAAAACUCUGUUGUUAGGGAAGAACAAGUGCUAGUUGAAUAAGCUGGCACCUUGACGGUACCUAACCAGAAAGCCACGGCUAACUACGUGCCAGCAGCCGCGGUAAUACGUAGGUGGCAAGCGUUAUCCGGAAUUAUUGGGCGUAAAGCGCGCGCAGGUGGUUUCUUAAGUCUGAUGUGAAAGCCCACGGCUCAACCGUGGAGGGUCAUUGGAAACUGGGAGACUUGAGUGCAGAAGAGGAAAGUGGAAUUCCAUGUGUAGCGGUGAAAUGCGUAGAGAUAUGGAGGAACACCAGUGGCGAAGGCGACUUUCUGGUCUGUAACUGACACUGAGGCGCGAAAG